rnacentral:rRNA from 1 species
CGUUUGCUCCCCUGGCUUUCGCUCAUCAGUGUCAAUCUCGGUCCAGGAUGCCGCCUUCGCCACCGGUAUUCCUCCAGAUAUCUACGCAUUUCACCGCUACACCUGGAAUUCUGCAUCCCUCUCCCGAAUUCAAGCCAUCCAGUAUCAGACGCAGUUCCCAAGUUGAGCCUGGGGAUUUCACGUCUGACUUAGUUGGCCACCUACGAGCCCUUUACGCCCAGUAAUUCCGAACAACGCUUGCCCCCCCCGUAUUACCGCGGCUGCUGGCACGGAGUUAGCCGGGGCUUCCUUUAGCGGUACCGUCACCUCUGCGGAUUAUUCAGCCGCAAAGCAUUCGUCCCGCUCGACAGGAGUUUACGACCCGAAGAUCUUCAUCCUCCACGCGGCGUUGCGUCGUCAGGCUUGCGCCCAUUGCGAACAAUUCCCCACUGCUGCCUCCCGUAGGAGUCUGGGCCGUGUCUCAGUCCCAGUGUGUCCGUCCGCCCUCUCAGGCCGGAUACUGAUCGUCGCCUUGGUGAGCCAUUACCCCACCAACUAGCUAAUCAGGCGCGGGCCCCUCUUUAAGCGCCAGGUCUUGCGAUCCCCAGCUUUGAUUUCCGCUGUCUA